rnacentral:sRNA from 1 species
UGGCAGACUUCUCAGUAAAAUAACAACUAUAGGUUUGCCGUAGCCUAGGCAAUGCUAUAGUUGUUAUUUUACUCCUCUUCAAAGAGAUAUAACAUAGGUACGAUGUGGAAUAACCAUGAAUGGGGUUUAUUCGAGAGAUGGAGACGGGCCUUUUCUUUUCUUGUUUUUUUUUUGCCUGCCCUGCCCCAAAAGGAUGUCGCGGGAGCAGAUGUGCACUUGCAGAUACAUAAAUGCAUAUUUACGAGUCUGCUAUACCCUCCCCCCAUUCCAUUCGCAUCUGGGCUGUUGCUAAAUUUAUGUAUUUCUUUUGUGUGUGCUUAUUUUCGCAAUCGCUCAAUGGUGGGUCAGUGGCACACCAUCUGCUUCUGACCGCAAAUCGUGAUCGCGACUGCCCGAAGCAACGGCAACGGCCACCGAUCCGAUGCCGCUACUCCACUUAGUUUCCCUUUAGUUGUAAAUUGUAGUUUCAGUAUGCCAAGUGUUUUCUCAUUAUCGUGCCAAGGCUGUCAGGAAGAGCAGAGGCAGAAGAAGAGGCAGAGGAAAUGUACAAUGGAGCGGCAGAUACGAGUAUGGCAGGUGGUCCAGCAGCCCAGACGAGAAACUUCCACAUAAUUAUGACCACUCAGUCAUCAGUCGCGUCAUUAGUGUCUACAUACAUAUGUAUAUGUACAUACUUGUGGCGUUUUGCCGCAAAGGUGGGUGCGGGUGAAUCCGAAUGGAUCUUAGUAAAUGCUUAUAAAAUUCCUAUAUUCUACGAUGUGAAUCCAGACCAGACUAUCUCCAAGUAUACUUAAAACGUAAUAUAUAAAAAUUAAAAUUGUACCAUAUGAAGAAGAGAAGCGGACAUACAUAAUUCGCCAACCGUUUCGCAAAAACGCAUAUGUACAUAUAUAAGCUGUUAGAAAUUAAUAAAUACAUACAUAUGUAUGAAUAUAUGUACAUGCUCCUCGCACGAAUAAGUGAACUUUCAGAGCUACAUUUUCUCAUUGUUCAUUUAGCAAUUAUUUAUUCCCUAUAAAUUGUAUUUGCAAUUGACGCAACGCGGCCGUGAGGGUAAAAUGAAGAGCGGUUUGGAACGGAAUGUACAAGUAGUGAUGUAGGGUGAAAGUGCGUCGCUGCUUUUCUCUCAUCCAGCUUUAUUCUGAAAUAAAUGCACAUACGAUACGAUACGUAGUGCACAUGUGUACAUGAUAUUAUUCGAUAAGAUAUUCGCUGCUUCUGGCUUCUUUUAAAAAAUGUAUAGUACGUAUUUCGACUGGAAGUUGCACGCAAUCCGCCUACGAGCUAUUUUUAGUUGAACAUUUUAUUAGAAAGAAUGACUGGAUUAAAAUUGCAAGGCUAUGGAUUUAAUGUACAUAAGAAAUUAUUUAUGUACCCUUACAGUUCAACGACCAGUAAAGUUAACGUUAAUUUAUUCAACUUUAUCAUUCUUUAAAGCUUUUGGGUUCAUGGGGACUUUCUAGGAAAUUAAAAGAGUUUGGAAUAAUAAUUAAUUCGAAAAUACAGAUCUUCUCACACAUCUUAAUUUAAGAUUUUAAAAUAUUUUUUCUCCAAUCCACACAUGACCGAUCAGCAAUUAUUCUUACACUAUAAAAUAUUGUAUCUCAAAUUUUUCUUAUGUAUGAAAUACUGUUGCAAAGUAAAGUGUGUCGCUUCUGUAUAAAAAGGCUUCGAAUCAAAAACAACCUGGGCGACUGUCGGCUCAAACUGAUUUGCGAUACUCUCACAUUCCUCUAACCAUAUUCUGCCCAGGAGCUGCUUUUGAAUUACAUACUCAUACUCGAACUGAAACUCCUACUCGUUCUUGCACUCGUACUUUUGGGGCGCAUAGACCUGCUAAUGUACUUAGUGGUAUGUACUUAAAUACAAAUUUACAUAUACAUAUGUAUGCAGGUUCACGUAAAUAAUUCUGGAUUUCCAUUCUAAGGGGGCAGCGCCUAUUCGAAUUAAUAUAAAUUAAUAAAUGCACAUUUUAUGCAGAUGUGGAUGUGGAUUUUUAUGUUGAUGCCCCUUUCUUCAUUUCACAGUGCAUACAUACAUAUAUAGAAAUAUUGAUUAUAUAGCGUACGUAAGCUCCAGCAUCGACUAAAGCAUUGCCAUAACACCCAUGAUUAAUUUUUUUGUAUGGCCAACUGUUUAUAUAGCACAUAAGAAAAUUUAUUUCUUUGGUUAGGCUCCUGCAUGCUCUUCUUUGCAUUUGAAACGCGACCUUGAUAGCAUAAGUUACUUUGAAAGAGUUAAGACAUUAGUUCUGCUGUUCUGUUCGUAACAUAGCUUAGGUCCAUACGUUUAAGGAAAAUCGAUAUAGUUCGACAUGUUCUGGACACUCCAUGGACGAAAAUCAAUGAAAUGGCAGCAGUGGCAGCGUUGAACUCCAUUAUGUCUCUCGUGUGUGUGUCUAUUUUGUGUACAUACUUAGUAUAUCUAUAUGCACAUGCUUAUGUACAUGCAUCUAAGGGUUCGGAUAUGCUUAUCGGAUGUACAUACAUAUAAAUAUAUAGCAGAAUGCAUACAUAAAUGCAUAAACAUUUAUGUGCAUGCUACAGCGCCAUGACGACGACCGGAAAUGCAUCCAGAGCGUAUACACACACGCACACACACGCAAAAAGUGCAACACAUAAACAUGAGCCAGACAGAAAGAGUCAACAAAAGUGUGAGUCUGUGUGCGAGAGCGUGUGUGUGUGUGUGUGUGUGUGUGAGGGAGAGCGAGAGAGAGGCCUUGAAGUAGACAUUAAAUCGUGCACAAAUUUGCAUGCCAUCGACCAGGACCAGAACCUGGACCUGACUGUGGGUGCAACAUAGCAGAACAGAAGGCACUGCUGCAAAGGGGUGGGGCUCAGGAGGGUGGGCAGCGCGGGUCUACGUGGUGGUUGUUGCAUUGGUCAUUCCUGUUGCCGUCAUAUAAGGGAUGUUACUGCAGAAAGUGCAGCGGGAGAGCUGAAUGCAACCAAAAAUUGCACUUGAGCCGCACUUUACCCGAGUGUGGGCGUGGGCGGUAUAGGGGAUGAUGCAACGAAAAUGCAUGCGAAACGUGGUACGGGGCAGACGAAUUGCGUACUAUACAUACAAGCACACACAUGAGCCAACAUGGCAAAGCAGGAGAAGUCUGUGCCUCGACAGCGACACCGACUGCGACGACGACUGCAGCUGGCAUUGCAACUUGCAACUGCAACUGCAUUUUGACGAGAGCGCCGGCGCUGGCAUAGCAUUCGCGAUGGGUCCCAGGUCCAGUGAAAGGAUCUGUAUCCACAUCCGCCGUUGCUGCUCCUGCUGCUGCUGCAGUCGCUUUUUGUUUAUCGUACACAAUUUUUAUCUCAUAAUAAGCAAACCGCUGCUCCCCCCUGCCCUCUCCUAACCAUCAAUGCAUCGUCGACGUUGCGCUGGGGCUGCGGCGAUGAUGGCAGAUUUUUAUUCUCAAUUAUUUUGGACGACGGCGCAUUCACAAACGCAAUAUUCCAUGGAGUAGAACAGCCGACUGCGGAUCGUCCAGACCUCGCGGAGCAUUUUUAUUUCUCAAAUAUCAUCAUAAUUUUAACAAAAACAAUAGACCAAAUACGUUUUUAAAACUAAUACCUAUAGCCACCAUAGAAGUCAACGCUAACUUAACUCAAACCACCAUUCAGUUUUAAAAGCAAUAGAACGGAUGCAGUUAUACUCUUCUGAUUUUUUUAGCAAUACUCAUUACAACAAAAGGGAUUAACAACAACAUCAACUCUAGACCUGAUCAAUUAAAACAACAACAACAAAAAGCAAGCAUAUAAUACUUCAAACUUAAACUUCAACUCAAACAUUCAAAAAACAAUAAAUAAACAAGAACCAGAAUCAGAUCGAACCGUUUAAAAUCUAACAAAAAUUUGAACAUUCGGCAAUCAAAACAACAGAAAAAAACAAAAAAAAAGAAUAAUUAACAACCAAAAAGU